rnacentral:rRNA from 1 species
AUUGAACGCUGGCGGAAUGCUUUACACAUGCAAGUCGAACGGCAGCACGGACUUCGGUCUGGUGGCGAGUGGCGAACGGGUGAGUAAUGUAUCGGAACGUGCCCAGUCGUGGGGGAUAACGUAGUGAAAAUUACGCUAAUACCGCAUACGAUCUAUGGAUGAAAGCGGGGGAUCGCAAGACCUCGCGCGAUUGGAGCGGCCGAUAUCAGAUUAGGUAGUUGGUGGGGUAAGGGCCCACCAAGCCAACGAUCUGUAGCUGGUCUGAGAGGACGACCAGCCACACUGGAACUGAGACACGGUCCAGACUCCUACGGGAGGCAGCAGUGGGGAAUUUUGGACGAUGGGCGAAAGCCUGAUCCAGCCAUUCCGCGUGCAGGAUGAAGGCCCUCGGGUUGUAAACUGCUUUUGUACAGAACGAAAAGGUUUCUACUAAUACUAGGAGCUCAUGACGGUACUGUAAGAAUAAGCACCGGCUAACUACGUGCCAGCCGCCGCGGUAA